ACUUGGAGGUGCCACCGCCGGCGCCGCGAGGGAGCCCGGGUCUGGCGGCCCCUUCCAGCCUCUGGGAGCCCUUUCCCGCCGCGGAGGCUGAGAUUGUAUCCGGGAGAAUCCGAAGAAAAAAGCCUCUGCGCAGGGACUUGUGAGCAGCCCUACCUCUCCUCUGCCCUUGUGCUACUUUUUUUCUUCGGGGAAGAUUGUGCUGGGGAGACGCGAAAAGGCUCCGGGAGGGACCGGAGGGGGAGGCUCCCGGUGACCCAGGUGAUUCCCUGUGCUGUACAGUAGGUCCUUGUUGUUUAUCUAUUUUAUAUAUAGUGGUGUGUGUAUGUUUUCCUAACCUCCUAAUUUAUCCUUCUGCCCACCCCCAUUUCCCUUUUGGUAACCGUAAGUUGUUUUGGUUUUUUUCCACUAUGUCUUUGGGUCUCUUCCCGUUUUGGAAAGAAGUUUAUUUGUAUCUCUUUCUUUAGAUGCUGCAUAUAAAUGAUGUCAUAUGGAAUUUGUCUUUCUCUUUCUGACUUACUUCGCUUAGAUGAUAUUCUCUAGGUCUAUCCAUGUUGCUGCAAAUAGCAUUAUUUCAUUCUUUUUUAUGGCUAAUAUUCCAUUAUAUAGAUAGAUAUAGAUAUAAUCUCACAUCUUCUUUAUCCAGUCCUCUGUUGAUGGACACUUAGGUUGCUUCCAUGUCUUGGCUGUUGUAAUAGUGUUGCACUGAACAUUGGGGUGCAUGGAUCUUUUUGAAUUUCCAUAUUAUUUCUUGUGUAUGUGAGUCUCUCUCUCCGGGAAUAUCUGUCUAAAUAUCUAGCACGAGAGUAUGCCAUAAUGGUUAUGCACUGGGAAUUGUGUAAUAUCACCAGCCCUCCUCAUUUAUCUUGUCAACUAAUGGUUCCUGGUAUACAGAUAAUUCUGUUUGUCAAGAGUUUCUAUAGUGCUUGUGAACUGUGAUUUUUAUAUCCACUGUCUAUGUAAUCCUUCUCAUGAAUAAUUUCUCAGUAAGAAGGCAGGCAAGGCUAGUGAAGAGGGCUCCAACAUUGUAUUGUGUGUAAUGAUCUGUGAACAUUCUGACCCCCAGGGAUAGUAGUUUUUGAUGACCAGACAAACAGCCAAGUGAUGAUAGGAUCUAAAUCUUGAAGGAGGAUAAGCCAUGUAAAUGAAAAGUUAAAAUCUGUACAUUUCAUUUGUUUCAAUAACAAUAAAUAACACAGUUGCUCUUCAAUAGCCCAUGUUUAUUAACUUUUUAAUAUUUUCCAUGUAAUGGAGGUCUGAAAAAAAGACAAGGUUCUUUUUUCCAAAAUAAAACAAGAUAUUUUGAAAAUUUUUGUAUGCUGAGGAUUUUUCUUAUAAAAUGAUUGAUUCUCUAUAUAGUAGCUGAUGUCAGUCCUUAAGUGUUUAUACAAAGGUGUUUAUCCACACUAGCCUCAUCCUGAAAUGUCUGUGCUGCUUUUUGCUUUGUAUUCCCCAGUCAUUUUGGUAGAGGUGAGAAGCUGGAAAAACCUGAAGUAGAGGUUAUAUGAAAAGUCUUGUGUCUUGGUCUAAAAAGGUCAAGAGCAAAGCUUGUUAGGAUGACCUGCAAGUUCUCCCCGAUCCUAUUAGCACCUACCAGAUGCAUCUGUCACUUUGCUUUUGACCCCAGGCUUGUGUCACUUGUCACCCUUGCUGUACCCACUGUGGGUGCUGCCUUUUGCAUGCCAGCAACUCUCCUGUAUCUGUUAUUUUUCUCUUUUUCUUCCUUUGGCUUCCAGCUCCUUCCCUUGUCUUUAUCUGGUGACUCCUGCUUGUCAUUUACUCAGAACUCCUGCAAGAAUUCUGUCCUGUUAAACAUCCAUCCUCCUCUCCUGCCCCACGGGGUCUAAGAAUCCAUCAGACUCCCACGGCACCCUGAGUGUGUCUCCCUCACACAUCUUUGCAUGUUGCAAGGGAGUGAUGGAUUUACCUAUAUAUGCCCCCUUUUGUUUUGUAAAGUCAGAAAGAACUGAGACUUAAACAAUUCCUUCUGCCUAAUGCCUAAAGUCCGCUAGGCUGUCAUGGGUUGUUCCUGUGAGAUGGGCAUUGGCAAUCAAGGUGUUUAUUAGCAAGAAUUCCUGGGAUCAAGGCCAAGGAAGAAAGCAGGACUGGGCAGAGGAAGAAGCUGUGAUCCACAUAAAGGUAUCAGUCGGCUCUCCCUAUGGGGAGCCCCCUAGCAGGGAGGACCUCCAGGUUGUUUCCAAUUACACCAAGUUGGCCCCAGCAUUUUUACUCCCCCUGGAAAGGGGUGUGACCUCGGCAAGGCAGUUGUCUUCAGUGGAGGCAGCUCCACAGAGGGCUGACUCCUGAGGGCUGCCUUUUGGCUGCACUUCUAGAAGCUGGAGGAUUAUGUACCCUUCCUUUCUGUAAGGGGACCUGGGCAGAAUUUCACAGUAUCCAACAAAAAGGAAUGUUUUGUAAAAUUAACCAAAGACGAGAAAAUGCCUAUGACUUUGGGAAAUUGGGAAUAAGAGGAGGAAAUGAGACACACGGGCCAUUUCUAUCUGCUCUAUUAAUAGAAAUGGUUUUCAUAAAAUGGGUUUUUGGCUGAAUAAGAAGAUACGAUUUUUUUAAAGACCCUUUAAGCUUUAAGCCUUCCAGUCCUAAAAGCAGCAAAUGCGUUGUUUGUAACUAUUCCAAAUAUUUAAACUUCUGCCACUCAUCCUGUAAACAUUUAUUGACUCCCUGAAAGAUACACAGCACUGUAGUAGCUGGUGUAGGAUCCCCCCAAAGAAAGUGUUUCAAGGAAAAAAAAUAUCUGAUGGAUGUUUAGCACUAAACACAUUACACUACUCAUUUCAUGAUGUAUGUAAGUCAAAUCAUUAUUUCUAUACACCUUCAACAUAUACAGUG
rnacentral:lncRNA from 1 species